AUCCCAUGAUGAGGACACUUAUGAAACAAUUCCUUGAAUCAUUCCCAUGCCUCGUAUAAAGAAUCAUCAUCCAAUUGUUGAAAAGUAGUUAUCUCAUUUUGCAACU
rnacentral:snoRNA from 1 species